rnacentral:rRNA from 1 species
AUCUACCUUUUGCUGGGGUAUAGCCAGAGGAAAUUCUGAUUAAUCCCCCAUAAUAUAAAGAUUCUGCAUGGAGCCUUUAUUAAAGCUUUGGUGGCAAAAGAUGAGCAUGCGUUUGAUUAGUUAGUUGGUGAGGUAAUGGCUCUACCAAGACUAUGAUCAGUAGGGGGCCUGAGAGGGUGUACCCCCACACUGGUACUGAGACACGGACCAGACUUCUACGGAAGGGCAGCAGUGAGGAAUAUUGGUCAAUGGAGGAAACUCUGAACCAGCUAUGUCGCGUGCAGGAUGACUGCCUUUUGGGUUGUAAACUGCUUUUGUAUAGAAAUAAAAAUUCCUACGAGAUAGGGAUCUGAAGGUACUAUACGAAUAAGUGUCGGCUAAAUCCGUGCCAGCAGCCGCGGCAAUACGGAUGACACAAGCGUUAUUCGGAUUUAUUGGGUUUAAAGGGUGUGUAGGCUGUUUAUUAAGUCAGUAGUGAAAGCUUACAGCUUAACUGUAAAAUUGCUAUUGAUACUGGUAAGCUUGAGUAAGAUUGGAGCAUCUGGAAUGUAUGGUGUAGCGGUGAAAUGCAUAGAUAUCAUACAGAACACCGAUAGCGAAGGCAGGUUGCUAAAUCUUUACUGACGCUGAUUGCACGAAAGCGUGGGUAGCAAACAGGAUUAGAUACCCUGGUAGUCCACGCCCUAAACGAUGAUCACUAGCUAUUGGAAAAACGAUAUUCAGUGGCUUAGCGAAAGCGAUAAGUGAUCCACCUGGGAAGUACAGUCGCAAGAUUGAAACUCAAAGGAAUUGACGGGGGUUCGCACAAGCGGUGGAGCAUGUGGUUUAAUUCGAUGAUACGCGAGGAACCUUACCAAGGCUUAAAUGUAUUACGAAUAAGCUGGAAACAGCUUAGUCUAUACGACGUAUUACAAGGUGCUGCAUGGUUGUCUUCAGUUCGUGCUGUGAAGUGUUUGGUUAAGUCCUAUAACGAGCGCAACCCCUAUUGUUAGUUGCCAUCGGGUAAAGCCGGGAACUCUAACAAAACUGCCGGUGUAAACUGUGAGGAAGGUGGGGAUGAUGUCAA